AGCAGCCGCGGUAAUUCCAGCUCCAAUAGCGUAUAUUAAAGUUGCUGCAGUUAAAAAGCUCGUAGUUGAAUUUCGGGACCAUCACGUCGGUCGUGCCUCGGUACGUACUGGCGUCGUUGGUUUCUCCCUUCUGACGAACCAUGAUGUCAUUUAUUUGGUGUCGUGGGGAAUCAGGACUGUUACUUUGAAAAAAUUAGAGUGUUUAAAGCAGGCUCACGCUUGAAUACAUUAGCAUGGAAUAAUGAAAUAGGACGUUUGAUUCUAUUUUGUUGGUUUCUAGGAUCGACGUAAUGAUUAAUAGGGAUAGUUGGGGGCAUUAGUAUUCAAUUGUCAGAGGUGAAAUUCUUGGAUUUAUUGAAGACUAACUACUGCGAAAGCAUUUGCCAAGGAUGUUUUCAUUAAUCAGGAACGAAAGUUAGGGGAUCGAAGACGAUCAGAUACCGUCGUAGUCUUAACCAUAAACUAUGCCGACUAGGGAUCGGAUGAUGUUAAUUUUUAAUGUACUCAUUCGGCGCCUUAA
rnacentral:rRNA from 1 species